rnacentral:lncRNA from 1 species
UAUAAGACCCUGAGGGAAAGAAAGAAGAUGUAUCAAGUUUGAGUUUGUUAAGGAAUAGCGCUGUGAAAUUUGUUUCCGGGAUUAAUAACACAAGCCUGACCAAAGGUUUUAUGAUAAAAUGGGAUAGAGUGACAGAAACCAAACCAAAGCUACAGCGCAGAACCCGCAGCCCAGCAUGACCUUGUGGUCCUUCUCCACAUCAGCAACCAGCAGAAGCGACAGGAUCCCCAGCCAGGAAUACUUUCCCCCAAGCAGGUAAGAAACACGAGGUUGAUGUUGAAUGCUUCAAGAAGCCGCUGGUGGUCAUAGUAAAUCUCCUAAAGACCUACAGAUCCUUAGAAAAGAUCACUAAAGAAAAGCUCACUAAAAGGCAAGAUAUGCAUUGCUGAAUACAUGAAAAUCUUUCUUAUCUUCAGGAGUGUGUCUCCGUGUGUGUCUGUGUGUCUAUACGGACAAAUGUGUGCAAGUAUAUAUAUACAUAAAG